rnacentral:lncRNA from 1 species
GCACUGUGGAAGUUUUGUUGUUUUGCUUUUGUCAAUAAAUCUGGCUGCUGCUCAGUGUUUGGGUCUGCACUGCAUUUAUGAGCUGUAACACUGACCAUGAAGGUCUGCGGCUUCACUCCUGAAGUCAGCAAGACCACGAACGCACCAGAAGGAAGAAACUCCAGACGCAUCUGAACAUCUGAAGGAACAAACUCAGGACACACCAACUUUAAGAACUUUAACACCACAGGGGUCCGUGGCUUCAUUCUUGAAGUCAGUGAGACAAAGAACCCACCAGAAGGAAGCAAUUCCGCACACACCAGUAGCUGGGAUUACAGGCACGUGCCAGCAUACCUGGCUAAUUUUUGUAUUUUCGGUAGAGACGAGUUUUCGCCAUGUUGGCCAUGCUGGUCUCAAAUUCCUGGCCUCAAGUGAUCCACCUGUCUUGGCCUCCCAAAGUGCUGGGAUUAUAGCCGUGAGCCACCACACCUAGCCGGAAGUAUAAUUUUGAGCUUUUCCCCCAUUUUAGUGGAAGAAGGGAAAGACCAAAAGAAUCAGAAAUAUUGGCUCAGCAGUUUGCUUCUGGACUUUGUUACAGGAGAGAAUAAACUCUCAUUAGAGACUGUAGUUUUCUGUUACCUGCAGUCCAGUGCAUUCUCAAUUGAGUCUGAGACUGAAUGUUUAAGUGACAUCCCCAAGGUCGUGCAACCUAUAAGAGGCACAGUUUGUACAUGUCAAGAAAGUUCUCAACAGCAUUCUUUCCAGCCUUUCAGGAACAUCCCCGGACAGAAAUCAAGAGAUAAGAGGUACA